GAUGAACGCUGGCGGCGUGCCUAAUACAUGCAAGUCGAGCGAACGGACGCGAAGCUUGCUUCUCUGAUGUUAGCGGCGGACGGGUGAGUAACACGUGGAUAACCUACCUAUAAGACUGGGAUAACUUCGGGAAACCGGAGCUAAUCCCGGAUGAUAUUCUGAACCGCAUGGUUCAAAAGUGAAAGACGGUCUUGCUGUCACUUAUAGAUGGAUCCACGCUGCAUUAGCUAGUUGGUAAGGUAACGGGCUACCAAGGCAACGAUGCAUAUCCGACCUGAGAGAGAAAUCGGCCGCACUGGAACUGAGACACGAUCCAGACUCCUACGGGAGGCAGCAGUAGGGAAUCUACCGCAAGGGGCGAGAGCCUGACGGAACAACGCCGCGUGAGUGAUGAAGGUCUUCGGAUCGUAAAACUCUGUUAUUAGGGAAAAACAUAUGUGUAAGUAACUGUGCACAUCGUGACGGUGCCUAAGCAGAAGGCCACGGCUAACUACGUG
rnacentral:rRNA from 1 species